AGAAACAGGCCCCCUCAACCACCCCCAUACUUCCCACCAGCUGGACCAUUUUACCAGGCACCACCCCCUGCGUAUGCACCCCCAGGGGAACCACUUUAUGGAUUUGUACCUUAUCAGACAUUCCCAACAGCCCCACCAGCUGAUGGUGUCUAUAUGACAGAGGCACCACCCCCAUAUCCAGGUAUUGACCCCAACCUGAGACCACCACCAUAUCCUCCCCAGCAAAACAACUCUGCAGAUGCCAAGGCAGCUGAAGCAGCAGCCAGUGCUUACAAUGGUGCCUACUAUGAUCCAGGCAACCCACAUAAUGUUUACAUGCCUCCCCCACAGGGGGCACCACCAGCAUACUCGGAGGCGGCAAAGAAAUACGACUAAUUAAUGAUUUGGAUGGAUGAAGACAAAGCAGGCCUUAAAAUAACUAAACUAAAUGUUCAGUGAAAAAAAA